rnacentral:misc_RNA from 1 species
GGUUCGAAACGCGUCUUUUAAAAUGGCGGACAUUUGUAAACAACGGCGUUGAUUCCCAGUAAUCAUGUCAAAAUUAUACGUUAAAUCCGUUACGUAAUAAUGUAACAGUAACUUUAUUUUACUAUUGGAUAAAUUAUAGUUUAUAUCGUAAACAUAUAUAUAAAAAAAAGAGGGAAAAUAUGCAAUCUACUAUUGAUAAAAUGUUAUCGACAAAGAAAGCUUUGUGCGCUUGCAUAAGAGGAAAAAAAUUCGAAGACGAUGUUCGACUACUAGAUUAUCGACAUGGAUCUUUGGAUCAAGUUCCCAACAACGUGUUCGUUCGAGAGAGGACGCUUGAAGAACUACUUUUGGAUGCUAAUUGCAUUUCGGAUCUACCCAGAGAACUUUUUUGUUGUACUGGUCUGAGAAUCUUAUCGGUUUCUGAUAACGAGCUCAAACUCCUUCCACCAGCCAUUGGAAGUUUAAUUUGUCUCGAGCAACUCGAUGUAUCGAAAAAUUCUUUGUCAUACGUUCCUGACGCAAUAAAGAGCUGUAAACGGCUCUCAACGUUAGAUCUAAGCGUUAAUCCCUUAGGUCGUGUGCCUGAUGGCGUUUGUCAAUGCCUUUCACUAACUAGUUUGCACUUGAACGAUUGUUUAUUGGAUUUUGUACCUGGCCAAUUGGGAAGACUAACAAACCUACUGGUUUUGGAAUUAAGGGAAAACCGUCUGAGAAAUUUGCCAAAUACAUUCAACAGAUUAACUAAUUUAGAACGUUUAGAUGUGGGUACAAAUGACUUUCAUACUUUUCCAGAUGUUAUUGGAGAAAUGAAAAAUUUAAAGGAAAUUUGGUGCGAUCGAAAUAAAAUAACUACAAUAUCUAGUUGUUUGGGAAACCUUAAAAAUUUAGUCUUUCUCGAUGCCAGUAAAAAUCUACUACGUAACAUAGACGGAAGUAUUGAGGCUUGUAUUCAGCUAGCGGAUUUACAUCUCUCCUCUAAUGACUUGAAACGAUUACCUGAAUCUCUUGGUCGUUUAAGUAAUUUAACAACUUUAAAGUUGGACGACAAUCUUUUGGAAUGUUUACCUAUUUCCCUCGGAGGAUUAGCUUCCCUUUCCGAAUUGGAAGUUAGCGCAAAUCAGCUAAUAAAUUUCCCACCUUCGAUUGGAUUGUUACGUAAUCUUCGAACAUUAUACGCUAAUGAGAAUUUAUUACGUUUGCUACCCACGGAAUUGGGUAGUUGCCAGGCAUUAACUGUCUUAUCUCUAAGAGCGAAUCAGCUUACCUAUGUACCGGAUGAAAUAGGAAGAAUACCCAAACUCAGAGUUUUGAAUUUGUCCUCUAACUUUUUGGUCAAUCUGCCAAUGUCUCUUAUGAGAUUAAAUUAUUUGCAAGCCAUGUGGCUGUCUGAAAAUCAAGCACAGCCUAUCAUCCGCUUACAAAGCGAUAUACAAAAUGGAAGAAAAGUUUUAACUUGUUAUCUAUUGCCUCAACAGCCACAUGAUGGUGACGACGAUUCUAUUGCAGGAGAUUAUAUCAAUGGGGACCGCGAAAGAAAAAUCACUUGGGAUAGUUCAGCCGGAGAAAACGUUAGUAGGCUAGAAAGAGUCCCUACUCCAGGGCCAGCGGAAAUGAGGGCAAGAAAUGUAAAAGCUCAAGUGAAGAGUUUAACAGACAAUGAUCGUCUUGAGGAAGCUCCCGUUUUAGGGAGAAGGGCUGAAAGGCAAUUAACUCAGGUUGUUGAACGCCAUCAUCUUCUGAAAGCAGAUAAGGAAAAAAUGAUGAAAGAUAAAAAGAGGCUAAAAGGAGAAACAGAAGAUGACGAUGAUGGAGGAUUUUUAUCACCUCAUUCUCGUCACCUUCCUCAGCUGCUAGGACCUCCUCCAAUGGACAGACGUCUUAGAAGGUCUUCAAAGGGCUACGAGAGUGAUAGUGGCAUCGCUAGAAAUCCUAUGUCAGGCUACGAUUCAGAUACAGGCUAUAAGAGCGAUACAGGAUACAAAUCUGACGCAGAAAUAUACGAAAGAAUGAAAGCAAUUCUAAAUCGAAAGGCUAGAUCUACAUCCCAUCUUUCCAGGCCACAGCCUGGUCCUCCGAUCGCAAACUUCCAUUCUACACCUGUUAGACACUUUAGACCAGAAUCUCACGCUGAAGUUGUUCGGUCUGAAUCAUUUCGAUCAACCCCACUUCAACGUAUUGACGAGAUUUCAAAUUUGUCCAUGAGACCCGUCCAGGAAAUGCAUGUUCCAACUACUCCAACCAGCAAACAAAUACCGACUGCUCAGAGAGCCAUAACGCCAAGAACUCCAAAUCAAAAUGGAUCACAUUCAUUUUCAUUUUCGCAUAAGGCAAUGCCAAUUACCAGACCUGCUCAACCGCAACCGUCCCCGUGGCGUCGAUCAGCCAUUGAAUCGGAUCAAAAUCAUAACUUAGAAGAGGAGGAAUGGAAAAAGCAAUUAUAUAAAGCCCAAAUUGCUUUAAAUAAAAGUCCAUCUCAACCAAAUGGAUUAAAUAAUAUACAGAGGCUAUGAGAAGAAACGAAAUGAAAGAUAAAGAUGAUAAAAUUUUAUCGAUAAAUAAUUUACAAAUGUAAGAUGCACAUUCAGGUGGUUUUGUUUCGCUGUUAAAACUCAAAAAAUUUGAUCUUAAAUAUACUUUGAUCGAUUAUUUAAGAUAUUCGAAAAGGUCAACUAUUGAGUGAGAUGAUCAAUCAAAAGAACAAUAUAUAACAAUGAAUAUUUUAAAUUAAAGAUUUAUUACUCAAUGGCAAAAUGAUAAUCGAAUAUCAAUUAACGGAAUGAUUUUAAUUUAAUGAUCCACUCUUUUAAAAUACUCGGUUCUUUAUUUCUGAAGACUAACAAUUUUAUUUUAACUAACUAUUGACAAAACUUCUGUUAGUGCUGGCGAAGCGUUCCCGAACUUCGCAAUAAAACCGGCGCACCUUUCCCCAUCGCUUCAAGCUUUGCUCACAUUCCUGUAAGCAUUUAUGAUUCUAUAUUUUUUGAUAAAACUGUGAUAUCAUACAUAAACACGCAAAGAAUGUUAUUUUGUUAUUCCAACAAAAGGAAUCAUUUAUUAUACUAUCGGCGGUUUUAUUGAUGAUAUCGCACUUUAUUCAAAGUUAAUGGUCAUUUCUAUUUGUGACAAGGAGAAAAAAGAGCUAAUUGAAGGAAAUUGAUCAGCUCUUAAAGUUUUUUUUUAUAUUGUAAUAUAUAGCUUUCAAAACUUUUUGAUCCACUCCAAUAGGAACCGAUAACAACACCACUAAAUGACGUUCGUGCCCAACUUGUUCAUGCCUCUUCAGACAUACCUUAUGCUGACGAUUCAUCAAAAGAAGAUAUACGACAACCUUUUUCUCAAACAUCUACAGAUAGCGGCUAUCAGGAUGACCAUGCUACCCAAUUACUUGUAAAAUUAUACAAAACUCCUGAUCUUGGUAUCAGUAUAGCUGGUGGCCUACAAUCCCCUGGAAACCCUUUCAAUCCUGAUGAUACGGUAUUAUAUUCUAUUUUCUUUCAAAAGUUAAUUUUUCAUUGUUUAAUAAAUUGUAGCAGGGAAUAUACGUUACAAGGGUUUUAGAGCCAAGAAAUGAAGUCCACGUUCGGGAUAAAAUAUUAAAGAUAAACGGAAUAAGCUGCAAGGGAAAGGAACAUGAAACUGUUGUAAAUUGGCUAAGAGGUUCCGAUUCACCAGUUCAUCUUCUCGUUGAACGACGCCUUGCCAAACACAUAACGUGAUAUUACCUACUACAAAAAUUUUAUACCUUUCUUUUUUCUAUGAUUUAGACAUCAGGAAUUAGAUGUGAUAUUGCCUUUUUUAAAAUAAUGUAUCUUAUAGAUUUUUUACUGUAUGAGAUGAUUUAUCAAAUGCACAAAACCGCAUUUUAUAAAUAAAUGAAAACCUGAC